ensembl:lincRNA
UGAGUUUAUUGGUACAUUUUAGGUAUACAGUGCAGUUACAUUCAUCAUUGGGAUUUAGUAGACCUCAUGUCCUCUUCUUUUCAAACCCAGAAAAACAGAACGAGGCCCCUUCAACUUCUCUUUAGUGAAACUCACAGGUAACAUUUUAAUACCUCAGCUCAGUUAUAUGUGAGCAGAGCAUCAAGCAAUAAUAAAAUUUUCAAAGUUGGAUUAAAGCACCUUUGCAAUCUUUUAAAAAUAGAAACGGUGUCAAAACUCUGAAAGAAACACCAGUCGUGGGUUUAGAAAGGGUGCUGGCCGGCACACACACUCUGUCUCACGGGGCCUCCACAGGUGUAGGCAGGUUUGGAUGUGUGUGGCUGUUCUCGUGCCAGUGUUUGACUCUUUCACCCAGAGCACAGUGGUUAGUCCACAGUGAGGAUUCAACAGUCAUUCGACACACGUUUUUGGAGUGUCUGCUGUUAAGGGCAUUGAUCAGAGGUUCUAUGGCUGUGAUAGACACGGUGAUGGGUUUCAUGAAAUUUUCAACACGUGGAGAGAGACGAGAGCAGCAAAAAAAAAAGCGUGCAAAGAAACAAAUAUAAAUGUAUACAAUAAUUGGAGGGCUGAUAAGUACUGUGGAGGAAAUAACUUGGGAGUGGAAAGAGAAAAACCACCUCUCUCAGACAAGGUGGAUGGGACGGCCGCUAAGAUCUGAGCCAGAAGGGUGUGGAACGAGGAGAAGAGGGUUUAAAAUGGCAGAACUGUGUGUGCAAAGGGAGUAGUGUGCUUUAGGGCUCAGCCGAGACCACUGAGGUUGCAGCCAAACGCUCAAAGCAGAGGAGGCCACGGAGGCUGGGAGACUAGGAAGUCAGACCAGGGCCUCCUGGGCCGCCAGCUUCCGUCCCGCGCUCUGUGGGAGGCCCCGUGGGAGUCUGAGCCGAAGUGUUGCGCAGUCCACACUGGCGAGCGUCUCUCGCGGGCAGCCUCCAGCCGAGCAGCGGGAGAAGCAGAGCUGAUAAAAGCCGGUGGCAUCAUCCAGGUCAAAGGCGGCAGCCCAGGACCAGGGCGGUGGUGCGGAGGAGAACCUGGAAGGGACACGACCCGCUGGUGGUCUGCAGCUGGCCAGUCUCUUGGAUCUAGACGUACCCCGGGGUGGUGGAGAUUUCAGUGUGAUGCUCAACCUUGUGGCAGGCUCAAAGCUUGGGGUCCGUGAUCAUGGAAGGCAAGUGAUGGUUCAGAUUUUCUAAUGUUAUAUUAUUCUCUGAGCUUAUUUCUGGGUGAAGACGGAGAAAGUGUAUUCGGAAGAAUUAUUCUCGGAAAUACACUGUACCUAUCUGGAAGAAAUUCUUUGAUAAAUUUCCAGGGGACAAGGUGAAAUUCCAAGGAUGUAGUUAAGCCGCAGAAGAUGGUUACUGAAUUGGUACAUGUGAGAAGAGGCAAGGACGGGAACUUGGGUCGAUCCCCAAGGGAGAGAGGGACGAGAACCAUAAAAGAAAGACUGGAGACGAGAGAGGAGCUAAGAGGCAGGGCCUGGCUCAGGAGAAGAAAAAGAGGGAGAAGCCUCACGGGUCAAAGAAGGAGGGCAGGGAAAUGGGGGAAAAUAAGAACCAAG